rnacentral:rRNA from 1 species
AUUGAACGCUGGCGGCAGGCCUAACACAUGCAAGUCGAGCGGAUGAAGGGAGCUUGCUCCUGGAUUCAGCGGCGGACGGGUGAGUAAUGCCUAGGAAUCUGCCUGGUAGUGGGGGAUAACGUCCGGAAACGGGCGCUAAUACCGCAUACGUCCUGAGGGAGAAAGUGGGGGAUCUUCGGACCUCACGCUAUCAGAUGAGCCAGGUCGGAUUAGCUAGUUGGUGGGGUAAAGGCCUACCAAGGCGACGAUCCGUAACUGGUCUGAGAGGAUGAUCAGUCACACUGGAACUGAGACACGGUCCAGACUCCUACGGGAGGCAGCAGUGGGGAAUAUUGGACAAAGGGCGAAAGCCUGAUCCAGCCAUGCCGCGUGUGUGAAGAAGGUCUUCGGAUUGUAAAGCACUUUAAGUUGGGAGGAAGGGCAGUAAGUUAAUACCUUGCUGUUUUGACGUUACCAACAGAAUAAGCACCGGCUAACUUCGUG